CAUAUGAAAAAUAAGCAUUGUCUGGGUCUUCUUGCCAAAACACAAACUCAGUUAUUUUUGAUGUUAUUUUUUUGUC
rnacentral:tRNA from 1 species